GGGAGCAUUUCUAAAUGACUUGAAGCUCUGUCACGGCAUAAUCUCUUAUAAAUAAAUGUCAGUGUAGUCACUGAAUGCAGACUGGAUUUUUGCCUGACUACGGUGCUCAGCCUUCUAGACAAUAGUUAUGCUAAGGGAUUAUCUUUUAACAUUGUGCAGUUAUCUCCUUUGUUUGUUUUCUUUUUUCAUUAUUCACAUAAGCCAAGGGAAAUGAAAAGCAUCUUAUUUCAGGCAAAAAGGCCUGUGAAUGAUUAACUCUGGUUCCAUGCGUUGGGACUUUGCAUAGCAACCCCGUGGCUUGCAACGACAAAAAAGCUCAAGGCAGGAACAGCAGCCCAGGGACCUGAGACCAGCGUUCUCAAAUGAAGCCAGAUCUGCUGUUAGAGGAGAAUUCUUCUGUCCUAGCUGUGUCUCUGUGAUCUGUGGAUGAGGGUGGGAAAGCACCACUCAGUCAAUUGGGGUGUACAAAAUGGAGUUUGAGAAGGUCUCACAUCCAGGUUGUUUUGAAGCAAAGUCCAAGCAUUGUAUCACUUCAUCUGCAAAUAUUUCAAUAAGUACCCAAAAGACUUCCUAGGAUAGAGCUUGGAAAGGUUGGAAAAGUAAGGAUGAUUGAACUUGAAAGGUGUGAAUGAAAGAAGAAUUAUCUUUUGGGAUGGAGAAUAGUAGCUGUUUUCAAAGAAGAUUUUAUUUUAUCUUUCAUUUUUGGCCUAUAAGUUUUGCAGAGAAUCUGUGAUUAGAGUAUUUAGUAAAGUACUAUGUAAUUAUUGUUCUGUUAUUUGGACACAUGUUUAAACUAGAAUUUUGAAGAUAGCAAUUAGCAAUAAUUAUGUAUGUUCUAGCCACUUUAUUCAUUCUACCUCUUUUACCAUAUACUUUAAAGAUAUCUAUAUGGUAAAAGGUAAGUGGCAACUGAAUAAUCACAAAUACAUCAACAAGUAAAGAGAUGCUUUGUUUUAUUGAGUGCAUUCUUAUAUUUUCUCUUUUGCUGGAAUAAUAAGUGGGGUUUUAAACUGAUCUGUUCUAACAUUGUUUUUCCUCAUUUUCUCUCUCUUUAGAGGGUUUCAGCAGGUUUUCAUACAUUCUCAGUUAGAAGCUGUUAUAAUUUUUAAAAUAAUACUCUAGUUCUAGUUAUUCUAUCACGAGCUGAUUCUAUUUAUACAACAAAUAAAUACUAAUUAAAACUACUCUAUAACCUUGAACUGUACAUUAGGGAAGUUAUACCUAUGGUGGAUGACUGAAAAGAGAGUCCAGGAUAAACUGAUACAUCUAAUUGCACAUAGUAGCCUUCGAAUCAAGACUCUCAAAUAGUAAAAUGCACUAAGCCAAUAUGGAUGGGAAUAGCCUCCUGCUGUUUUCCCAACUAUUUGAAUUUUUAAUAUCUUCUCUUAUAGCUAUAUACUUUUGGUUCAUUUAUGCUAGCGGUGUUAUCAGUGAAUGUAUUUUUAGAUUCUGUAUUCCAUAUUUUAGAUUCUGUAUUCCAUAUUUAAUGAAAUUUUAUUUAUAGGAAAGAAAGAA
ensembl:lncRNA LINC01091 long intergenic non-protein coding RNA 1091